CCCUUAGAUGUUCUGGGCCGCACGCGCGCUACACUGACGAAGUCAGCGAGCAUGUCCUACGCCGACAGGUGCGGGGAAUCUUGUCAAACUUCGUCGUGAUGGGGAUUGAUUAUUGAAAUUCUUGAUCAUCAACGAGGAAUUCCUAGUAAGCGCAAGUCAGCAGCUUGCGUUGAUUACGUCCCUGCCCUUUGUACACACCGCCCGUCGCUACUACCGAUUGAAUGGUCCGGUGAGGACUCGGGAUUGUGGUUUAGCUCCUUCAUUGGGGCCUGACUGCGAGAACUUGUCCGAACCUUAUCAUUUAGAGGAAGGUGAAGUCGUAACA
rnacentral:rRNA from 1 species